UUAGUCUAUGUUGUGGUCAAGGCA
rnacentral:siRNA from 1 species